AUCGCGGUUACUACGACGUCGCUCCAACUACCGAUCCAUCAGUCGACCUUUGAUACACCACCGGCAUCUGUGCUGAGCCUCCCUCUCCCCUUCUUUCUUCUCCUUCCGCAUCAUCGCGCUCCCUACUCUCUCUCUAUUAUUGUCAUUGUGUGGUCGUGUACGUCUCCGCUGCUGCUUGGUCUCGAACUGCUCAUCGGCGCACCCCUACCUCUGUAGCACCCUCCCCCUACAAUACACAAGUUCGCCAUGGCCUCGAGCUGUCUCAAGUACGCGUCUGUGGACGACUUCAUAGCGAAGUGCGUCCUGUCUCGCGACCCGCAUCAGCCUGAAUUCACGCAGGCUGUCCGCGAGGUGAUGACGUCGCUGUGGCCGUUCCUGCAGAAAAACCCCAAGUACACUCAGGAUGGCUUGCUGGAGCGCAUUGUGGAGCCGGAGCGCGUGAUUCAGUUCCGCGUCCCUUGGGUGGAUGACAAGGGCGUCACCCACGUCAACCGCGCCUUCCGCGUCCAGUUCAACUCUGCCAUCGGCCCCUACAAGGGAGGCAUGCGCUUUCACCCCUCCGUCAACCUCUCUAUCCUCAAGUUCCUUGGCUUCGAGCAGACCUUCAAGAACUCACUCACGACGCUGCCCAUGGGUGGCGGCAAGGGCGGGGCCGACUUCGACCCCAAGGGCAAGAGCGACAGCGAGGUGAUGCGCUUCUGCCAGUCACUCGUGGCGGAGCUCUACCGGCACAUCGGCGCCGACACUGACGUGCCGGCUGGCGACAUCGGCGUCGGUAGUCGCGAGGUGGGCUACAUGAACGGCAUGUACUGGAAGCUACGGAACACGAACGAGUGCACCUUUACCGGUAAGGGCCUCUCCUUCCAGGGCAGUGCGAUCCGGCCUGAGGCUACGGGGUACGGCCUCGUGUACUUCGCUCAGUCGAUGCUGAUGCACGCCAACGACUCUCUCGAGGGAAAGACUGUCCUCGUGUCGGGCUCCGGCAACGUUGCGCAGUACGCGAUCGAGAAGUGCAUGGAGCUCGGAGCGAAGGUCAUUACAGCCUCCGACUCAAAGGGCUACAUACACGACCAGAGCGGCUUCGACAAGGUGAAGUUGGCGAAGCUGAUGAAGCUGAAGAACGAGCGCCGUGGGACGCUGGAGGAAUACGCGAAGGAGACGGGUGUCACGUACGUGCCGGGCAAGCGCCCGUGGUGUGUAAAAGCCGAUAUCGCCCUCCCGUGCGCCACGCAGAACGAGAUCGAGGCGACCGACGCCAAGACGAUGGUGGCGAACGGCGUGAAGCUGGUCGCCGAGGGCGCCAACAUGCCAGCGACGGAGGAGGCUACGGAGAUCUUCCAGAAGGCGGGUGUGAUGUUCGCCCCUGGCAAGGCCUCCAACGCCGGUGGCGUGGCCAUCUCCGGGCUUGAGAUGUCGCAGAACGCGGCGCGCCUGGCGUGGAACGCCGAGGAGGUCGACAGCCGCCUGCGCAGCAUCAUGUCCAGCAUCCACGAAUCGUGCGUGCAGUACGGCGAAAAGAAUGGCAAGGUCAGCUACGUGGACGGCGCAAACAUUGCUGGCUUUGUGAAGGUGGCAGAUGCCAUGCUGGCUCUCGGCAUCGUCUAGUUGACUCUUGCGCCGCCAGGGACCGAGUGAUAUAGUCCAAGAAGGGGGAGAAGCGAAAAGCAGGUUCCGCGUGUGCGUGUGCGUCUCUCUCACGCACUGCAGGAAGAAACGAACAAUUUUCCCACUCGAGGAGAGGGCGCCGCGGAGUAGUUGCUCCUUCGCUCUUGAUUGUCUUUACCCUUCGUUCUUUCCUUCAGCUCGCUUUCUUUGUGCUUCUCUGAAACGCCGCGUGCGGGUCGCUGCACAUGACGCUCUCCCACCCCAUCCAUCCACACCCUGGCCUCCCCCUGCCCUCUAACGCAUUCCCAUUUUCUUCUCUACAUACAUAUAUAAUAUGCAAAGAGGGAAAGUGCAGCGGCAGCGGAAUAAAAAGGCGUCGUACCCACGUGCGCACAGUACUGAAUGGAUCAAAUUAGGCCCUUCUUGCAGAGACAAGCAUACUCGGAGACACGCACGCAAGCAGGUAUCACCGCAGGCUGGAGCUUGUGGAUGCCGCAUGAAAAACAGUAGAAGGGCCAUCAACGGCCACUAGCGCCAGUAAAUAUCGGCCAAGGAGAAGAAACAAUAAGGCGACGAAGAGUGAAACAGUGGCCAAUGAUUGCAUAGUACUAGUGCGAAAAAAAAACCGGUAUCUGGUGCCGUUGCUGCGUUGUCGCUGUCUCUAUGCGUGCGCGUACACUCCUGUGUGUCCGCGCGUGUUGACGGGCGGGUGAAGGAGUGGGUAUGUCGGCCUGUGUGCGGAUGCAUUGCUUUCUUUCCUUCUUUUGUUGAAGUUUUGCUUGCGUUCUCCUGCUUGAGUUUGCACGUCUGUGUGUGUGCUUCGUGCCCUCUCUCCUCUCCUCUUCCCUUCCUCCCUUCUUUUCUUCCCUCGCUUUUUAUUUUGCGUGCUUCUCGAUUUUCCACACAUACACACACACACAUUCUCCGUCCACCCAUCUGCAUCACCGUGUACGCGUGCGUGUGCGCGUGUCUCUGUGAGCGUUUGCAGAGAAUAACGACGUGCAAAGAAAGAUGCUUUGAAAAAUCGACUGAGACUCUCUGGUGUGGAAUGAUGCUGAUGCUGGUGGCAUUUGAGUGUGGGCCAUGCACGCGUGCGCGCUUCUGCGGGAAGUCGUCGAGGAAGAUAGGCUUAUCAGUAUAUGGGUGUUGGGUCUCGCCAGAUAGUCGCAGAACGCGCACAUGUCUACAGGUGAAUCUUCGUUCAUGCCUUCUCCUCUGGCUGCACACGAUGGCGUGCCAUCGAGCAACCUUCUCUGAAA
rnacentral:misc_RNA from 1 species